GAUUGAACGCUGGCGGCAGGCCUAACACAUGCAAGUCGAGCGGUAGCACAGAGAGCUUGCUCUCGGGUGACGAGCGGCGGACGGGUGAGUAAUGUCUGGGAAACUGCCUGAUGGAGGGGGAUAACUACUGGAAACGGUAGCUAAUACCGCAUAAUGUCGCAAGACCAAAGUGGGGGACCUUCGGGCCUCAUGCCAUCAGAUGUGCCCAGAUGGGAUUAGCUAGUAGGUGGGGUAACGGCUCACCUAGGCGACGAUCCCUAGCUGGUCUGAGAGGAUGACCAGCCACACUGGAACUGAGACACGGUCCAGACUCCUACGGGAGGCAGCAGUGGGGAAUAUUGCACAAUGGGCGCAAGCCUGAUGCAGCCAUGCCGCGUGUGUGAAGAAGGCCUUCGGGUUGUAAAGCACUUUCAGCGGGGAGGAAGGCGAUGAGGUUAAUAA
rnacentral:rRNA from 1 species